AUUUUAUUUGAAAAACUUGUUCUUAAAGAUUUAGAAAAAAUCAAAUACAAAAAAUAUGACUCUAAUAACCUCACGAAUAGUGAGAGACAGGCAAUCAAAGAACUCCAAAAAGAUAGUGAUAUUGUCAUAAAACCAGCUGAUAAGGGGGGAGGAGUAGUCAUUCAAUCUAGUGAAAUGUAUGUAAAUGAAGCUCAUAGACAAUUAAAAGA